rnacentral:rRNA from 1 species
GAUGAACGCUGGCGGCGUGCCUAAUACAUGCAAGUCGAGCGAACAGAUGAUGAGCUUGCUCCUCUGACGUUAGCCGCGGACGGGUGAGUCACACGUGUAUCACCUACCUAUAUUUCUGGUAUCUCUUCGGGACACCGGCUCUAAUACCGUAUAAUAUCUUGCACCGCAUUGUUCAAUAGUGAAAUACGGUUUUUCUGUCACUUAUAGAUGCAUCCGCGCCGCAUUAGAUAGUUGGUAAGGUAACGGCUUACCAAGGCAACGAUGCGUAGCCGACGUGAGAGGGGGAUAGGCCACCCGGGAAGGGAGACACGGACAAGAAGCCUAAGGGAGGCAGCAGAAGGGAAUGUGCGGCAAUGGGCGAAAGCAUGACGGAGCAAGGGCGCGUGAGUGAUGAAGGUGUUCGGAUCGUAAAAAUCUGUUAUGAGGGAAGAACAAAUGUGGAAGUAAAUAUGGACGUAUUGACGGUAACUAAUCAGAAAGCAACGGCUAACUACGUG